AUUGAACGCUGGCGGAAUGCUUUACACACGCAAGUCGAACGGCAGCACGGACUUCGGUCUGGUGGCGAGUGGCGAACGGGUGAGUAAUGUAUCGGAACGUGCCCAGUCGUGGGGGAUAACGUAGUGAAAAUUACGCUAAUACCGCAUACGAUCUAUGGAUGAAAGCGGGGGAUCGCAAGACCUCGCGCGAUUGGAGCGGCCGAUAUCAGAUUAGGUAGUUGGUGGGGUAAAGGCCCACCAAGCCAACGAACUGUAGCUGGUCUGAGAGGACGACCAGCCACACUGGAACUGAGACACGGUCCAGACUCCUACGGGAGGCAGCAGUGGGGCAUUUUGGACAAUGGGCGAAAGCCUGAUCCAGCCAUUCCGCGUGCAGGAUGAAGGCCCUCGAGUUGUAAACUGCUUUUGUACAGAACGAAAAGGUUUCUACUAAUACUAGGAGCUCAUGACGGUACUGUAAGAAUAAGCACCGGCUAACUACGUGCCAGCCGCCGCGGUAA
rnacentral:rRNA from 1 species